UAUAACCGGCGAUACCCGAAUGGGGAAACCCAGUGUGAUUCGUCACACUAUCAUUAACUGAAUCCAUAGGUUAAUGAGGCGAACCGGGGGAACUGAAACAUCUAAGUACCCCGAGGAAAAGAAAUCAACCGAGAUUCCCCCAGUAGCGGCGAGCGAACGGGGAGGAGCCCAGAGCCUGAAUCAGCAUGUGUGUUAGUGGAAGCGUCUGGAAAGGCGCGCGAUACAGGGUGACAGCCCCGUACACAAAAGCGCAUGUGCUGUGAGCUCGAUGAGUAGGGCGGGACACGUGGUAUCCUGUCUGAAUAUGGGGGGACCAUCCUCCAAGGCUAAAUACUCCUGACUGACCGAUAGUGAACCAGUACCGUGAGGGAAAGGCGAAAAGAACCCCGGCGAGGGGAGUGAAAAAGAACCUGAAACCG
rnacentral:rRNA from 1 species